AUCGGGAUCGGUAAACUCAGUUAAGUUUUGUCACGUGAAAAUUUUGACCAAUCGUCGAUAAAAACAACAAAAAUAUGGCGGCUAUGGGAUAAAACCCGUUUCCUGUAAAAUACAGAAGUUUGAAAAUCAGGGAAAUGCUGUAUUCCCACAAAAAAUCAGUAUCGCCAAUGAAGUUAGGAACGUUGGUGUUGCAAUCUCUAGAAGAUGAGCCUCAGUUGGUGCAAGCCUGUUUCCAUGGUGAUCCAGAUGAGGUGCGAGCACUGUUAUACAAGAAAGAAGAUGUCAAUUACCAAGAUACAGAGAAGAGAAGUCCGCUCCACGCGGCGGCUUACUGUGGGGAGGCGGAGAUAGCGGACCUCCUGAUUAUGAGUGGCGCCCGGGUAAACACCAAGGACAACAAAUGGCUGACUCCGCUCCACCGAGCCUGCUGCUCCAAGAGUGAUGAAACAGUCGAAACUUUACUCAGACAUCAGGCCGAUGUGAAUGCCCGCGACAAGAACUGGCAGACCCCACUACACAUCGCCGCAGCAAACAAUGCAGUCCGCUGUGCUGAGUAUCUUAUUCCUCUCCUGACCAAUGUCAAUGUCUCGGACCGCGCGGGGAGAACCAGUCUACAGCAUGCUUCAUUUAACGGCCACAAGGAGAUGGCCAAACUGUUGCUGGAGAAAGGAGCCACCAUUAACGCCUUUGACAAGAAGGACCGGCGAGCAGUUCACUGGGCAGCAUACAUGGGUCACACGGAAGUGGUGCGCAUCCUUGUGGAGCACGGGGCAGAACUCAACUGUAGGGACAAGCAGAUGUACACGCCCCUUCACGCAGCGGCGUCCAGUGGUCAGAUGACGGUGGUCAAGUUUCUGCUGGAAUACCAGGUGGAGGUGGAUGCAGUGAACGUCCAUGGAAACACCGCCCUCCACAUUGCAUGUCUAAAUGGACAGGACCCAGUGGUGACUGAGCUUUUACAGUUCGGGGCCUCCAUCAACUCGGUGAACCAUCGCGGUAUGACCCCACUACACUAUGCUGCGUCGUCAACUCAUGGAGGAAUCUGCCUGGAGAUCAUGGUGACAGAAGGAGCAAACACCAAAGCCCAGAAUUCAUCAGAUACCAAGAAACAAGAGCCGAAGAAUAAGUGUACGUUUGGGUGCAAUGAUGGGCGAUCCCCUUUACAUAUGACUGCAGUGCAUGGUAGAUUCACUCGAGCACAGACUCUACUCGAGCACGGGGCGGAUAUAGAUGUCUGUGAUAAGUUUGGGAACACGCCCCUUCACAUAGCAGCUCGGUAUGGACACGAACUGUUAAUCAACACAUUGCUGGAAAACGGUUCGGACCCUAUGAAACGAGGGACCAGUGGCAUGCUUCCUGUCCACAUUGCGGCUCUAAACGGGCACGUUGACUGUGUAAAGACGCUGCUAGCGGCCAUGGUGAGCCUGGAGAUUGACAUCACCGAUGACUUUGGACGAACUUGUCUGCACGGAGGGGCCUGUAGCGGGAAAGUAGAUGUGGUGGAUCUUUUGUUGAAGAUGGGUGCAGAUGUGCUUUGUGCAGACCACGAGGGAAGGGUACCUUUACAUUACGCCAGUGCUCACACCCACGGAGACUGUGUGGCAUCCCUGAUCAAUGCGGGUCGAGCAGCGGUCAACAUCACAGACAGGCGGGGCUGUACCCCCCUCCAUUAUGCCUCAGCCUGGGACCAUGAUGCUAAAGUUGUAGAACUUCUCCUGAAGAAUGACGCUCGACCCAGUAUCAGGGACCAUGAUGGCUUCAACACCUUACACUAUGCGGCCAUGAAGGGACACCGACUGACCCUGGAAAUGCUAUUAGACUGUGCCUCCACAGAUUUGAUACGAAGUGGAGCCCCAUUGUCCCCCGCCCACAUUGCGGCAUACAAUGGUCAUAACGAGGCUCUACAUAUACUGCUGGGUUGUAUCAUGAAUCUUGAUAUUAGGGACUCUCAUGGGCGGACCAUGCUGGACCUGGCCUGUCUGCAGGGACACGGGGAGUGUGUCGAGACCUUGUUACUGCAGGGCGCCACCAUACUGGUCCAAGACAGCACCACCAGACGGACACCACUCCACUCAGCAGCCAUGAACGGGCACACGGAGUGUUUACGGUUGCUAAUGGAAACAGCUGAAGACAGCAAUAUUGUAGAUUGUACAGAUGUUUAUGACAGGACACCUCUGAUGAUGGCUGUAGCCAAUGGUCACGUGGACACAGUGCUUUACCUGAUUGCUAAUGGUGCCAUAGUCAAUGCCAAAGACAGUCAGGGCAGGACUUCUCUCCAUCGGGGGGCUGCCAAUGGACACGAGGAGUGUGUGGACGCUCUCCUACACAACGGGGCGGACGUCAACGUCAGGGACCAGCGCGGCAGGGUCGCCACUUACCUGGCUGCAACCUGUGGACAGGUGUCCAUAUUGUCCAAUCUUCUGGCAAUGGGACCAAACAGUAGUAAAACAGAAGAUCAGCUGGGAUACACUCCUCUACACAUAGCUUGUUAUAAUGGUCAAGACAACUGUGUGGAGACAAUAAUAGAACAAGAUAAAAUAAGCGAGUUUUCAGGGAAUCCUUUCUCACCUCUACAUUGUGCUGUGAUAAAUGGAAAUGAUACAUGUACAGAAAUUUUAUUAGAAGCAUUUGGUGAUAAAAUAGUAAACCUAACUGAUGGCAAAGGGAGAACCCCAUUGCAUGCAGCUGCCUUCAGUGACCAGUGUGAGUCUAUGCAAAUGUUACUUAACCAUGGGGCCCUUGUCAAUCACUGUGAUACCACCGGGAAAUCCCCCAUUAUGUUGGCUGCAGCCAAUGGGCAUGCAGCAGCUGUAGAAUUAUUGUUGGAGCAAAAUGCUGAUCUUUCAUUAACUGAUAAUGAAGGAAAUACUUGUUUACAUUUCGCUUGUUCAAGGGAACAUGAAAAUGUGGCUCUUCUUCUAUUAGACAAAAUUCAUGAUUCCAAUAUCUGUAAUAUAGCAAAUAGUGAAUUAAAAACGCCCUUGCAUAUAGCAGCUAGAUAUGGUUUAACCCCAGUUGUUCAAGAUCUUAUAACCAAAGGCAGCAGUGUGUAUGCUUUAGAUGAGAACGGCCAUACUCCGGCCUUGGCAUGCGCUCCCAAUAACCGUGUAGCUGACUGCCUGGCCAUAAUCCUCGCUCACAUGCCUCUCUCCCCAACCCCUAACAACGUUUACCCCCGGACCGGCCGAUAUGACAGCAGUACCCCCAAUAAUACAUUCGCUGGCACAAGGACUCUGGAGCCGACAGGGGACCAGAUUAGUAUAGGAAGUCCCUCCAGUUCCGUUCAAGAUGUGAAGGAACACUCAGGUUCUUAUCAAAGCUCAGACUCGGAGUUUUACUGAACAGUGGAAAAAUACAGUUCUAGAUUUGUGAAAAUCAAACAAGUACUGUUUGUGGACACUUGCAGAGACUACCUUCAGUUUUGGUAGUAUACACAGGGGGACCAAUUUUUCACGAGGUACUAGUAUGCAGAUGCGAGUUUGUUGUUUGACCAGUUUAAAUUGCUUGCUACAGUGAUAAGAAAUGACCACUUUCCAUAAGAAUGAACAUGCACAGAAAUGUCCUCCCAAGCGUUUGUUGGAUUGGUCUUGUCGUGAAGAAGUGGAAGUGGGACCACCAUGGUUGAUUACUUGUAAUGUGUUUGACAAGCCUCUCAGACGUCCUGCUUUCCUAUACGGUGCUUUGAAUCCUUCCACAGCUUGCACUGUCAGAUCAACUGUCAAGAAACCUCACUUAAAAUAAAUACAACUGUGGUGUCGAAUAAAAGAGGAUGAGUGUAAAGAAUUGUAUGACCUUUGUUAUCAUGUUUUUCAGGGAUGUGAUCUUGAAAGAGUUUUUUGUAUCUUUAAAAAUUACUAAUUUUCAUUUUUAUAAUCUGCUUUAUGAUAUGAAGUUGUGUAAAUUCUUUGAAAUUAUUGUCAUUAAUUUGUUAUUUGUUGCAUAGAUUUUUAUUUUCAAGAGUGUUUCAUGUUAUUCUGAUAGUGAAGUAAUAUAAGUAUCCUGAUUUUGGAAUGUGGGGAUAAACUAAUGAAUUGUUACCUCAAUACUGGUAGUUGUUUUGUUGUAGAAAACCUUCAGUGGAUGAUGUCCUGUUUAUCCUUUAAAGGCGGAACUUUAAAGAAUUUUAAUGUAAACCUUGAAAUACAUUUUUGCUCUAUUUCAUGUAAAGAAAAAUAGCAUAAAAGAUGACAGUGUUGUAAUGCAAUCUAAGCACUGCCUACAUUUCAAAAUAAGUCAUUUCUUGAAGCUUACAAUAUGACACUUCCACAUAAACAUUGAUUCCCUUGUCAUAGGGCCACCUACCUAUUUUGAUGAACUUUAUAAAUGUUACGAUUCUGAUUAGAGUUAAGAAAAAUUUGAAAUUUUAUAUUAAAAUAUGGCAGGUUGUGUGGUGGAAAAAAUUUCUGGAUUGGCAUCAGCUUCUGUGUUAGAAGAACAACAGUUUGUGUCAAAGAAAAUAGUUUAUGGGCUGUAGUUGUUUUAUCUAUUUAAAACUCAGUUUGUUGCCACAAUAUUUGUGUCUCACGGACAUUGAUAUGUACUUAAAGAAUGCCUAGAGUGUGAACUUUGUUAAUAUUAUUAUGAAUUUAUUUAACACAAUAUAUGAUAUACACAGUGCAUAUGAUAUUGUUGUUAAUAGAUUUCUUUACAUACUGGGGACAUGAAAUACUUGUAUCGAAAAUAUCUACUGACAUUGUUAUUUAUGUAUGUAAGUGUCUCAUCCCAUCAGUAUUCGUCAGUUAUGCCUGACUCUAUGUUAGCUCUUUAUGUAUGUUUUAUAUACAGGGCUGGCUAUAACAGUCAAUAGCAUAUGCUACUCUCUAUACAUAGUUUGAUACUAAAAGAAUCAUAGAUAUUUUUAAGGAUAUAAAAUAAAAACAAAUUUUCAUCGGCUGUGUUCGAGUUUGUGAAGAGCCCAAGUAUAUACCCCUGCACUACAUAUAUUGU
rnacentral:misc_RNA from 1 species